rnacentral:rRNA from 1 species
GACGAACGCUGGCGGCGUGCCUAAUACAUGCAAGUUGAGCGCUGAAGGUUGGUACUUGUACCAACUGGAUGAGCAGCGAACGGGUGAGUAACGCGUGGGGAAUCUGCCUUUGAGCGGGGGACAACAUUUGGAAACGAAUGCUAAUACCGCAUAAAAACUUUAAACACAAGUUUUAAGUUUGAAAGAUGCGAUUGCAUCACUCAAAGAUGAUCCCGCGUUGUAUUAGCUAGUUGGUGAGGUAAAGGCUCACCAAGGCGAUGAUACAUAGCCGACCUGAGAGGGUGAUCGGCCACAUUGGGACUGAGACACGGCCCAAACUCCUACGGGAGGCAGCAGUAGGGAAUCUUCGGCAAUGGACGAAAGUCUGACCGAGCAACGCCGCGUGAGUGAAGGAGGUUUUCGGAUCGUAAAACUCUGUUGGUAGAGAAGAACGUUGGUGAGAGUGGAAAGCUCAUCAAGUGACGGUAACUACCCAGAAAGGGACGGCUAACUACGUG